rnacentral:rRNA from 1 species
GGNGNNNNNNNNNCCUNCCAAGGCGGUGACGGNNNNCCGGCCUGAGAGGGCGACCGGCCACACUGGGACUGAGACACGGCCCAGACUCCUACGGGAGGCAGCAGUGGGGAAUAUUGCACAAUGGGCGGAAGCCUGAUGCAGCGACGCCGCGUGAGGGAUGACGGCCUUCGGGUUGUAAACCUCUUUCGCCAGGGACGAAGCGUAAGUGACGGUACCUGGAGAAGAAGCACCGGCUAACUACGUGCCAGCAGCCGCGGUAAUACGUAGGGUGCGAGCGUUGUCCGGAAUUAUUGGGCGUAAAGAGCUCGUAGGCGGUGUGUCACGUCGGCCGUGAAAACCUCAGGCUUAACUUGGGGCUUGCGGUCGAUACGGGCAUCACUUGAGUUCGGUAGGGGAGACUGGAAUUCCUGGUGUAGCGGUGGAAUGCGCAGAUAUCAGGAGGAACACCGGUGGCGAAGGCGGGUCUCUGGGCCGAUACUGACGCUGAGGAGCGAAAGCGUGGGGAGCGAACAGGAUUAGAUACCCUGGUAGUCCACGCUGUAAACGUUGGGCGCUAGGUGUGGGGUGCUGUCCACGUAUCCCGUGCCGUAGCUAACGCAUUAAGCGCCCCGCCUGGGGAGUACGGGA